GUGUCUAGUGCACCGGCGGCUCGCCCGAAA
rnacentral:sRNA from 1 species